UAAAUAAUUUUUGUAGCGUAAAAGCAAAAUAUAUUCUUAUAUACAGUAACAUAGAUAACUAGAGUAUGUAAUUUAAUUUACAAUGACGUGUGGGCCCCCCUCGAAUGACCAAAAGUAACGAAGGCUGCGAACCUACAGUUUUGAGGAUGCAAAUCCAACUGUAGCCCUCGACGAAAUCAGUUAUCUACAGACUAACCUGAGCCUAAAAUGGGUGGAAAUGAGGGGUGAGUUUUUAUAAACCCAAUGAGUAAACAAACAUCAUCUCAAAUAUCUAAAGCCGAGUAAAUGAAGACAACUUAAAAUAGUUCAUCGUACUAUGAUUCAUAACGUUUCAAACUCAUUUCAACUUAACAAAAUAAAUUCAUUUCACUCAAAUAAUCAACAUGGCUUAUGAAUUUCUUAAAAAUUUGGCUCGUGCCAAAACUUAUUCUCGGGGAUACCUUGGCCGAGGCAUCCAACCGAGUCCUCCAAGGCUGUUAAAGAAAAGUUCAUAUACUCAUAAAACACAUUUUUACGUUUAAAAGCAUAGCCGUUCCUUGGCGUUGGUUGAGUUCACCCUCAAGUGGUGGUUUAGCGUGUAGUGAACUCUAAAGCUUUACCUUAGGAGAUACCCUCCGCGCCUCUCGUACUAAGGUAAAUAUAAUGGGGUUUACCGUGCCCCUCUAAUAGGCUGGUCCACGAUAACCCGCCCACUGCAGUAACCUAAAUACAUAACCCACCAAAUCAAUAAUAUUUCGGUAGCAUAACAUGGCUAAUAUAAUACUACCCAGCCUGUCAAGGCAAAACAAACAGUUCAUACAAUUUCAACAUAAUUUCCAAUUUAGCCAUUCAUGCCAAUAUCACCAUAAGCCAUUCAAUUCAAACCAUAAAUUUACAACACAAACAAAUAGUCUCCAAUUACUCAAUUUUUAAUAUCAUCAUUCAAUUUCAAAAUGAUUUAUAAAACUCAUUUCAUUUAAUCAAAUUUUACUUAUAAAAGAUAAGGAUUUACCAUUUAAACUCAUUUUUCUAUAAAAUCACAAAAAACGAAUAAAAACUACUUUAGAUAAUUAAGACGAUAAUAAGGUUACUCAUAAUAUCGGGAGUCGAAGUACUCCUAGUCUUGAUCUCCGGGUACAAUUUCCUUACUCUUAUCGAAAGUUCACCACCUAUACCCAAUACACAACAAAUAAUUCAAUAUAUUGUGUCAUGUCAUUAUAAAUCUAUUUCAAGCUCUAUAUGAAUGCAUGAGGUUGUUUGGAUAGUCACUUAAAGACGGUGUUACACGUUGGUUCAAUUAUGAUCGGAAUGGAUCGAUUUUCGACCUAAUUCGAACUCUCCACCUUUGAUUUAACCAAAACAUCCAAAUUAACUCCAAUUAUAUCCAUCACACUUCCAAUGUCCCAAAAUACACCAAAGCGUCUCAAUGAGCUUAACUUUUUCAUUGUUAUUCAACUUAUUUACUAAAAGAACUAUACUUUAAAAUUACCAUUUUCGAUUUUCAUCACCACUAUUCAUUAAAUUCUAACUAAAUAACACAAGAUAUUAUAAGAAUCAUCAUCACUAGGUUCCUUAUGAAAUUCGGCCAUGGUGGGUGCAUAAACACUAAGGUUUUUCAUACUUGAUUUUUUUAUACCAUAAAUCAUUAGUUCCUAACCAAAUCACUUGAAAUAAAAUCAAAUCCACCAUCAACAUACCAUAAGGAAGAUUCGGCCAAUAAGGGUGAUGAAAGAACAUGAAUUUUUCUUGUUUGCUUUUCAUGCUACACAUCACCAACCAACUAAAAACACUAGAAUAACAUGUUUUCCAACUAAAUUCAUCAUCAAAUCUUCUCCCCCUAGGUUCGGCCAACAAGGGAUCCAUCAUGAAAUCAUGAAUUUCAACCAUGGAAAAUGAGAAAGAAUGCUUAGGAAAGAUAGAUCUCAAGCUAAAAUUGAAAAAUCUUACCUUUUGUCACUUGAUUCCUUGAAAUUCCAAAGUUUUCUCUUGAAUUUUUCUAACUAGGUUUUGUUCUUUCUUUCUUUCCUCUUUUCCUUGGUGAGGCCAAACAUAUGGGAG
rnacentral:lncRNA from 1 species